AGUGGUUAAGAUGAAUGUAUUGCCGAAAAUGCUGUUUUUGUUUCAAACUUUACCUAUUAUUGAUAAUGUCAAAUGUUUUAAAGAAUGGCAGAAGGCCCUGUCCAAAUUUAUCUGGCAAGGGAAAAAACGAGAAUUAAAUAUUAAUUACUUACGGAUUUUUCUAUUUUAUGCUUUUUCUUUAUUAUUGUCAAUUUUUUCUUAUGUUUAUGUACUGAAAAUAAUAAUUAUUAUAUAUAUAUAAAAAAGAAAAAUUGCCACACACAGGGAGAACAAGGACAUAGUUUGAGUUUCAAAUAAUAGCAUUAAAAAAUGAAGAGGGGGAAAAAUAAUUAAAAAGGGAAAAGAAAGAGCAAAAAAAUUACCUCCCAUUUGAAUCACUUAUAAAAAGAUAAAAAACAAAGAAUAGUAUUACUAAGAAGAAAAACAGUCAGUUAAAAAUAUUUUGCAGGUGUCCAAAUAGAAAGAAAUAGGCCUAUCCAUUUUCAUUCAUGUCAAAAAAAAAUGCUUCAAUCUUUGUCUGAGAAUAAGAGGGACUUAAAACAGAGAUGUCAGUUUUGAGAGUAACAACAUUGCCUUUAAGAAGGACGUUUUAUCAUUAGGCGCUGCUAGGUUCUCCUGAAUCAGCUUUAGAAGUUGAACCUGAGCCAAUAUCUCUUUGAGAACUUUUAAGAGUAGAGGCUUCGGCUGCAAUUGCCCCCCCCCCCCCCAGGAGGCAUCUCAUUAAGGCAAGGCAAAAUAAGCUAAGAACUUUCUCCUUUACCCAUAUAUUAUGAUCAAAAAAUGAAGUCUUCCAGAAAUUAUCCCACACCAUGCUACUGCCAUGGUAAGCUUGAUAAGUAAGCUUCCUGUUUUUUCAAUGGAUUUCUUUUGGGGGGAAAUUAACACAGGUAGCUCUCUUGUUGAUUAGAUUAAGCUAUGCCUUGGAAUUGCAGCGAAUUCACAGCUGCAUUUCAUCUUUUUUCCAGAGCCACCAUGGGCGUUUCUGGCACCCAGUUGCCAUUGAAAGAAUACAGCACACAAUGGCUGUUCACAGUUGCGUGCCUGUGGAGGUGGAAUGCAAAAUGCAAAGACGUUCCAAUCUCUGGCACUUCCAAUUAGACCUCCUCACUACAGCCUAAAGACCUGCCCCUUUCCAACUCCUCACACAGAAGCACUUCCAGUGAUUUUGCAACUCCCACUCACCCCGAAACAAAACAGACCUUAGGAUCUGUGAGGAGGCUACAGUCCAGUAGUUCAGCACCAUCCUCCUCCUCCAUACACUUAGCCAAUUCUCCUUUUGGCUUGGCAACAAAUGCUGUAAAAUUAAUUACUGUAUUUUUUGUUCUACAAGACUCACUUUCUCCCUCCUAAAAAGUAAGGGGAAAUGUGUGUGCAUCUUACAGAGCGAAUGCAGGCUGCGCAGCUAUCCCAGAAGCCAGAACAGCAAGAGGGAUCACUUCUUUCACUGCGCAGCGAUCCCUCUUGCUGUUCUGGCUUCUGAGAUUCAGAAUAUUUUUUUUCUUGUUUUCCUCCUCCAAAAGCUAGGUGCAUCUUGUGGUCUGGUGCGUCUUAUAGAGCGAAAAAUAUGGUAUCUGGUCUGUUAAACUCCAAAUCCCUUUUGCCUGCCCUGAAUGCCCUGCCUAUCAAUUAAACUGAGUAACCUAUUUUAGCAUGAUGAAAGAAGUAUUUCUAUCCCCAUAAAACCUCUUGCCGUAUCGGUCCUCAGCUACCUUUUGUUCUAAACUAAAAAGCCACCUGGUAGUUUCGUUGGUUAGUGUGUGGUGCUGAUAAUGCCACGGUUGCAGGUUCAAUCCCCAUAUGGGACAGUGGCAUAUUCCUGCGCUGCAGGGGGUUGGACUAGAUGGUCCUCAGGGUCCCUUCCAGCUCUACAGUUCAACAUGUUCUAUUGUAUCACCCCUAUAGAAAUGCUUAUGGUAGAUGCAGCAAAUGGGGCCUGUAGUGCAAAUCACAAGAGAAUCCUGUUCACACACCCCACCAAAUGUGAUCUGCCAUAUAUGAUAGAAUCAUAGAAGUGUAGAAUUGGAAGGGACCUCGAGGGUCCUAAAUUCUGGACUAAAGUACAGUGGUGCCCCGCAAGACGAAUGCCUCGCAAGACGGAAAACCCGCUAGACGAAAGGGUUUUCCGUUUUGGAGGUGCUUCGCAAAACGAAUUUCCUAUGUGCUUGCUUCGCAAGACGAAAAUGUCUUGCGAGUUCCUGCGGGGUUUUUUUCCUUUUCCCUCCCUUUUCCCCAAGCCGCUAAACCGCUUAUCAGCUGAUGGCUAAGCCGCUUAUCAGCUGAUCUUUAAGCAGCUUAACAGCUGAUGCUAAGCCGCUUAUCAGCUGAUCUUUAAGCCGCUUAACAGCUGAUGCUAAGCCGCUUAUCAGCUGAUCUUUAAGCCGCUUAACAGCUGAUGCUAAGCCGCUUAUCAGCUGAUCUUUAAGCCGCUUAACAGCUGAUGCUAAGCCGCUUAUCAGCUGAUCUUUAAGCCGGCUAAGCCACUAAUACUGUAGCGCUAAGCCGCUAAACCUCUAAUGGGCUUGCUUCGCAAGACGAAAAAACCCGCAA
rnacentral:lncRNA from 1 species